rnacentral:tRNA from 1 species
GCAGGGAUAGCCAAGCGGUCAAAGGCGACAGACUCAAAAUCUGUUGGCUUAGUGCCUUCGUAGGUUCGAUUCCUACUCCCUGCA